GUGGGGGCGGAGGGUGGGGCAGAGCAGGAUGUGUGCUUGGGUUUCACUUGGAAAAAACAUACAUGAUAUUGCAAUAUAAUUUACUUUGAGAUUUCAAUUUGGAAAAUGGCAUGGAAAUAAUCCAGCUUGAACAUCGUCCUCCUCACCUCCUGGACUAGGGCGAGGGCCCCUUAUAUUUCUUCAUGGCAAUUGUGUCACAGUUCAAACGCUCGUACCCUGACUCCAUCUGGGAUUUGGAAUGCACUCAGGGAAGUGUCUGCGCAUGGAGACUAGAAAUGGAAGAGGCUUCCAAGGUCAUGCCUUUCAGGCUCCCUUCAAAUUCUACAGCUACUGUGAAGAGAGUUGCAUUCCCACAGAGAACAUGUCAGACUGGAGGAAAAUUGUGACAAAAGGUCUCCCCAAAGGCCUCUGAAACUUGGAUCUUAUCUCAUUCCACAAGGCAAAGGCCAGUUUCCUAAAUCAAAGAAUGAAACAAAGUACAUCUUUUUCAAGCAUUGUUUUGACAUCACUCCCUUUUAUACAAACUGGACAGGCACUCCCAUUGUCUCUUUAAAUAAUUUUUAAACACUCCUGAACUUUGGCUUGGAGACCCUCAUUUGAAAUGAUUUUACCACUCUAGACAUACUAGCUCAUAGUUUUUAACUUCAACCUGGCAAAAAGUUAAUAUCCCUCAUAAAACUCUACCCACUCUCUUCUAUGAACUCUUGCUCUGUUGCCCAGGCUGAAGUGCAGUGGCACAAUCUCGGCUCACUGCAACCACCGCCUCCCGGGUUCAAGUGAUUCUCCCACCUCAGUCUCUCAAGUAGCUGGGAUUACAGAUCGAGGAAAGGAGGUUUGCCUGAAAAUGAGCCAGAGUGGUUCUGCCCAGACUUGACGUGCUUCUGGCAGCCGGUGUGUACUGCUUGGUGACUGCUCUUUCAUUUCAGGUGGUAAUUUACCAAAUGCCGCUUUUUUUCUGUAUGACACAGGCGUGGCCAAACAUAGUCACCACUCAGAAUGUUGGGGAAGUUUCUCGUCCCCAUCAAACAGAGGGAGCAACCCUUGGUAGUUCAACCAUGAAACCUCCAUUAGCUGAGAAGUCUAACUGUGAUUUAUCAUUCCCUACCUAUAAAGAUUGUAAACGAAUCAGGAAGCUUUCUGAGUCUCUUAGUCCUCUACUUCCAAGUAGAAGUGGUAAGAAUGUCAACCUUCCCUCACAACAUUGUAAGAAGGAAUGAUUGUUUGAAUUGAUUAUAAAAAGAUGUUCUGCAUUAUUCAUCAUUAGGGAACUGCAAAUUAAAAUAACAAGGAGAUACGGCUACAUACCUAUUAAGAUGGCUAAUAUCCAAAACACUGACAGUACCAAAUAGUAGAGCAACAGGAACCCUCCUUCGUUGCUGGUGAAAACGUAAAAUGGUUCGACCACUUUGGAAGACAGUUUGGCAGUUUCUUACAAAUCUAAACACACUUUUAUCAUAUCAUUCUGCAAUCAUGCUCCUUGAUAUUUUCCCAAAUGAGUUGAAAACUUAGGUCCACACAGAAACCUGUGCACAAAAGUUUAUAGCAGCUUUAUUCAUAAUUGCCAAAACUUAGAAGCCACCAAGGUGUCCGUCAAUAGGUGAAUGGAUAAAUAAACUGUAGUAUAUUAAUACAGUGGAAUAGUAUUGAGCACUUAAAAAAGAAAAAGAGCUAUUAAGCCACAAGAAAGACAUGGAGGAAGCAUAAAGGCAUAUUACUAAGUGCAAGAAGCCAAUCUGAAAAGGCUACAGACUGUAUGAUUCCAACUAUAAGACAUUCUGGGGAGGUAAAAUUAUGCAGACAGUAAAAGGAUCAGUGUUUGCCAGGGUUUUGGGAAGAUGGAAGGAGGAAUUAAUAGAUGGAACACGGGAUUUUUAAGCCAAUGGAACUAUAUUGAAUGACACUGAAAGGGUAGCUACUAUGACAUGAUAGAUCUGUCAAAGCCCACAGACUAUACAACACAAAGAGUGAACCAUAUGUAAACUGUGGGCUUUGGUCACAAAGAGCGAACUGUAAUGUAAACUAUGGACUUUGGUUGAAAAUGAGGCAUCAAUAUUACUUCUUCAGUUGUAACAAAACAUACUGUGACAUGUUGGUGGUGGAAGGGGCUGGGUGUGUGUUGGGGGAUGGUUAUGUGGAAACUGUACUUUCUGCUCAAUUUUACUUUGAGCCUAAAACUUGUAAAAAAUGAAAUUUAUUGAUUAAAACUAAAUAGAUUUUAAAAUCUAGAUAAAAGUUAUUAUGAAGCAGAAAGUGAAUAUAAUCAUAUAAUUAUAUAAAUUAAUAAAAAUAAUUGUUGAAUGCAUGCUUUAGGAUUAAGUUCAGUUGUACACAACACAAAAAACAACAACAAAUGUGGUUUAGACAAGAUAGAAGAAUAUGUUUCUCAUGUAUGCAAAAUAAACCUAGAAGUAGGCAGUCUGGAGUUGGAAUGGUGAGUCCACAGAGACCUUGGGGACCAAGGCUUCUGGCUUUGCUGAGACUCCCAUCUCAGCAUCUGACUCCCAUCUCUUGGUCUGAUGUAAUUGCCAGAAUUCCAGCCAUUACAUCUGCAUUCUAAACAGCAGAGAGCGAGGAAGGAGGAAAUAUUGGCAUGCCUCCUCCCUUAAAUGCAGACUUACAGGAAGUUUCAUAUUAUUUUUCUGCUUUUAUCUUAUUGGUCAACAACUUAGACAAAUUGUCAUAUCUACCUGUGAAGGAGUCUAACAAUUCUUUACCUAUUGAAUGUACACAAAAUUUAAAAAAUCUGCAGAGAGGUCCAGCUAAAAAUCAGGGCUCUGUUUCUAAAUAAAAAGAAAGAAAGGGAUGUUGGAGUAGGCAGCUAGCCAUCUGAGACUUUGAGCAACCGUUGCUAAGUUAAAAAUACAGUGCUAGAGGCAGAGGAUGCAAAAACACAUUAGAUCAAUAGGAGAAAUAAACAUGCAACACGUGGCUAUUAUAUAUGGUGGCAAUUUGUUAAUGGCACAAGGAUUUCAAAAGAGGAUGUGAGUAUGCCCAGUUGGGGUUGAUCAGAGAAGCCCUCCUAGAGGGAAGGAUAUUUUACAAAGACCUAGAAGGAUGGAGAGAAUUUGAACGGUAGGAAGUGGUGGAAAAGAAGGCAAACUUGGCACAGGAAAUGGCAUGAAAGAAAGCAAGUUGUUAUUUGAUAAAGAGGGCUAUGCCUGUUAUUGAUGCAUUUUAUAGUCUGCACAGAUACAGAAAGUGCCUAGGCAGGAAGAAGUUUAUGUCUGUAGUUUGGACAUCUACCCUAAUGACAUCAGUUUCUCUAUUCACAAUCUGUCCAUCAUUCCCACGGGUUGGGAGGUGAGGAAGAAUUCCAUUCAACAACACACACUUAGAGUAUCUCAGGCAAAGAGACUUUUUUUCUUUUGUAUUUAUGAUAAAACACCCAAAUAUGUAUCCAAGUGGGAUUACCAGCCUGGGUUGGAUCCAAGAGACUUUGGUUACUAGAACUAUUUCUCAUCAUAAAUCCCCAAACAAGUUGAGUUUUUCACUUCCUCUCCUAAUCUGCCAUGGAGCACAGCCGAGUUGCUUGAAGUCAUCUACUUCUUGGCAGUGGCUACAAUUCCAAGAUGAUGGAACGAUUCUUUUCCAUAUACAUCAUUAUUAUUUCUAGUAUAAAUAUUUAUCAAGCACUCACUGUGCAAUAGAGAAGAGCUCCUGCUUGGUGGUCUUUCCAGCUGAACAAAACAAACAUGAGUAGAGGUCGAGGGAAGAGGUGGUAAGAGAACCUCAGCUGGUGGGAAACAAUAGGAAUUGCUUCGCCACCCCACCUCCUUUUAUUCAUGUUGGAUGUUAUUUGGACUUGACUGCCAUAUUUCAGAUAUGUAAAAUGUGUUUUUAUUUGUUUAACAUAUGCUUUAUAGGGCUUACCAUGUGCUGUGCACUGUUCUAAGCUCUUUACAAAUAUUAACAUAUUCAAUCCUCAUAGAAUCCUGUGAAAUAAGUCAUUUUAUUAUCCCCAUUUGCAGAUGAGGAAACCGAGGCACACAGUAAUUUUCCCAAGGUCACUCACUGGGCACAAUGACUCUAGAGCAACACUGUUCAGUAGAACUUUCUCUGAUGUCAGAAGUGUUCCGUAUUUGCGCUGCCCGAUAGGGUGACCACUGGAUACGUGUAGCUGUUGAGCACUUGAAAUGUGGCUUUUAUGACUGAGAAAGUGAACUUCUGAAAGUUCAGAAGGCCACACACCUCGCCCUCCCAAAGUGCUGAGAUUACAGGCAUAAGCCACCACACCCAGGCUGCCUUUCUUUCCUUUCCUCUCCCUUCCUCCCUCCCUCCCUUUUUUUUUUUUUGUUUCUUUGUUUGUUUGUUUGUUUGUUUCUUUCUUUCUUUCUUUCUUUUCUUUCUUUCUUUCUUGCUUGCUUUCCUUCCUUCCUUCCUUCAUUUUCUUUCUCUCUCUCUCUUUCUUUCCCUCCCUCCCUCCUCUCUCUCUCUUUCUUUCUUUUUCUUUCUCUUUCUUUUCUUUUUCCUUCCCUUUUCUCCUUCCUUCCUUCCUUCUCUUCUCUUUUUUCUUUCUGUUUCUUUUUUUGAAGGAGCGAGAGCCAAGAAUAUAGAGAUUCUUUUGUAAAACAGUGAUCCUUCCUGGUGCAUUUGCUGUUUAAUUAUGAUAAACAAUGUGAGAUAUAAGUUUGUAGAAAAAUAUGAGCAAGUCACUCAGGUGGUGCCAUUCUCUAUUCCCUGGCUAUUAAAUAGGACUACAAUAAAGCUCUAUCUCCAAUGCAAGUUUUCUCACAAUUAGUAGCAGAUGAGGAGGUCAAAGGGGAGAAACCAAUGGCUGGUUAGGUCAUGCACAUUUGGUAGCACAGACCAUUGUUAAAAGUGAAAAGCAACAUUAUAGUAUCUGGUGCCUACUUGGGAAAAUGAAGAGCAGGACAAGGUCAUGUGUGUUAUCUUGCUAUCAUCAAGACUACCACUCCCUCUUUUCUCUCUUUCCCUCCCAUCUUAACGCUUCUCUACUUUACUCAGCUUUUGUGGUUAAACUCAAAUUCCACUUCUUCCUUGAAAGCUGCCCUCCUGUCUCCAUGUGAAAGCAUCCUUCCUACAAUAUGACUAUCUUCUUCUGGUACUUAAUGGGUUCUAUACUAUGUAAUAGCUAAGUAAGUACAAGUCCUAACUCUCCUACUUACUCUCAACUCUUAAAGGUCUGAUUUCUGUUUGUAUUAAUUUUCUGUAAAACUUCAUACAAACCUGGGCAACAUAGUGAAUGAGAUCUUGUCUCUAUUGAAAAAAAAAAAAAAAAAAGAAUAGCCAGUCGUGGUGGCACACACCUGUGGUCCCAACUACUCAUGAGGCUGAGGCGAAAAGAUCACUUGAGCCAAAGAGGUUAAGACAGCAGUGAGCCAUGUUCACACCACUGCACUUCAUUCACCCUCAGCGACUGAGUGAGAUGUGCUCACAUUCCAUAGAUUAUUUUAACUUUCAUCCGUUUCCCUAUUUCUAGCAUGCACUUCUAUGAUAGCAUUAACAGUAUUGUAUUGUAAAAUUCGAUGAUCGUAUCUCUCCCCAAGACUGUAAGCCCUUUUAGAGUAGCACCUACCUUAAAAUAGAUGCUCUAUAAAUGGCAAGCAACUAUUUUCUGAAUGAAUGGUCAUUCUCAGAAAUUUGUAGUAUAUGUAGUAUGUUUGUCUUUUGUCUAAAACAAAAUGGAUCCCUCCUCCAAUGAAACUUUUCUAUAUUAGUAUUAGAUUAAGCAUUAGGUAAUAUCAAACUAACUUCAGCAUUUUAUAAUAGCCCUGCUGUAGAGAAAGACAAUGCAUAAUUGUCCUAGAGAAUGAGGCCAUUUUCAGCCAGCUGUGGUGGCUCACACCUGUAAUCCCAUCACUUUGGGAGGCUGAGGCAGGCAGAUCACUUGAAUUGGGAAUUCAAGACCAGCCUGGUCAACAUGCCAAAAUUCUGUCUGUACUAAAAAUACAAAAAUUAGCCAGGCAUGGUGGUGUAUGCCUAUAAUUCCAGCUACUAGGGAGGCUGAGGCAGGAGAAUCACUUGAACCCGGGGUGCAGAGGUUGCAGUUAGCAGAGAUCACACCACUGCACUCCAGCCUGGGUGACAGAGUGAGACUCUGUCUCAAAACAAACAAACAAACAAACAAAAAGAGAGAGAGAAUGAGAACAUUUCUUGCUUAACCUUGCCCAAAGGACAUAGGUCAUCCAAAGAGGUUUGAAUUUUAGGGUACUGCACAGAACCCAGAAUAGAAAAGAAGUAUGAAAACUGGCAAGACAUUGCAAUUUUCUACAAGUAUGUAAAGCUCAAACUAAAAAAGAACAUUUUUGAGAAUUUUAAGAAGUAUAUGAGAAGGAUGCUGACAUUAGGUUUAGUGAAGGAAGGGGCAGAGAUAGACCAAGAUCACUUUAGCAACCUAUAAUUUGGUUUAAUUGAUCGAGCAGGGAGAAAAAAAAAGGAGAAAAAGAAUGAGGAGAUCGUGAAAUUGACAAAUGUAAAAUACUGUAACAGAAAUUACUGUAGCUUUGCUUUGAGUAGUACUGGAAAAGUUUGUUAUACUAGGAAAUAGUCAUAUAAAUGGAAAGAUGGUUUUUCAUGUCUUUUAUGACUUGUUGUAAAUGAUUAAUUAAAUACUCUGAGUGUUUCAUUAAGUAUAUGCAUUCCUUCCAAAUUAAAGUGUGCAGAGACUCGUUAUAAAUAAAUUCAUUGGGUGAAUGAAAGGAGCAUUUACUUCUAAAGGAAUAUUACCGGCAAAUUUCAUUCUUGACAUUGAUUAAAUAAACUAAAUUUAUUUUAAUGGCAAUACAAACAAAUU